GAUGAACGCUGGCGGCGUGCCUAAUACAUGCAAGUCGAGCGAACGGACGAGAAGCUUGCUUUUCUGAUGUUAGCGGCGGACGGGUGAGUAACACGUGGAUAACCUACCUAUAAGACUGGGAUAACUUCGGGAAACCGGAGCUAAUACCGGAUAAUAUUUUGAACCGCAUGGUUCAAAAGUGAAAGACGGUCUUGCUGUCACUUAUAGAUGGAUCCGCGCUGCAUUAGCUAGUUGGUAAGGUAACGGCUUACCAAGGCAACGAUGCAUAGCCGACCUGAGAGGGGAAUCGGCCACCCGGGAACUAGGACACGGCCCAGACCCCCACGGGAGGCAGCAGGAGGGAAUUUUCCGCAAUGGGCGAAAGCCUGACGGAGCAACCCCGGGUGGGUGAUGAAGGUUUUCGGAUCGUAAAACUCUUUUAUUAGGGAAAAACAUAUGUGUAAGUAACUGUGCCAAUCUGGGCGGUACCUAAACAAAAAACCCCGGCUAACUACUG
rnacentral:rRNA from 1 species